UUGAUAUUAAAGUGACAGAAAAAAAAACGUUAUAGUAAAGCCGCGGCCGGAAAAUCAGGAAGCAACGUUACUACGCUAUAAUCGAUUAUCUUCCGUCACUGCAUCGAUACCGAAUCGUCCACGUCCGCAUCGCAAUGCAUCGUAGAAACGAUUAUUUUCAACACCCCUAACACACAUACUGU